CAUCUUCUAGUAUUUAAGGGAAAAAUUAUUUACGACUGUAUUCAAUCGAUCCGUAGAUGUACCGAUGUGCUGAAGUGUAAAUGAAUGAAGUUCCGGUCACAUAUUAAAUCAUUGUGUAAGAUUUUUUCCAGUGUUGGUUUAAAAUUUAAGAAGAUUAAAAGAAGAAAUAAAUACAUCGAAAAAUGAUUUCGUCAAUCAGUCUAAGUAUGUCCUUGAUAAUGUUGAUAGGAUUAUACGGAUGUGCGAAUGCUGCCCCACAGUUUCCUCAAAGAGGGUUGGCAAUAAGGGAUGAACCUCCACAACCGUAUGAUUUCCAAUAUAAAGUAGACAAUCCACCAUCACGGACGGUUUUUGGUCAAUCAGAAUCCGGGGAUGCACAAGGAAGGGUAGUCGGUAGUUAUUAUGUACUUCUGCCAGAUGGAAGACUAAUGAACGUCGAAUACAGUGUCGAUGG